AAAGGAAUUGACGGGGGCCCGCACAAGCAGCGGAGCAUGUGGUUUAAUUCGAGGCAACGCGAAGAACCUUACCUAGACUUGACAUCUCCUGAAUUACCCUUAACCGGGGAAGCCCUUCGGGGCAGGAAGACAGGUGGUGCAUGGUUGUCGUCAGCUCGUGUCGUGAGAUGUUGGGUUAAGUCCCGCAACGAGCGCAACCCUUAUUGUCAGUUGCUACCAUUUAGUUGAGCACUCUGGCGAGACUGCCCGGGUUAACCGGGAGGAAGGUGGGGAUGACGUCAAAUCAUCAUGCCCCUUAUGUCUAGGGCUACACACGUGCUACAAUGGCGAGUACAAAGAGAAGCGAGAUAGCGAUAUGGAGCAAACCUCAUAAAACUCGUCCCAGUUCAGAUUGCAGGCUGAAACUCGCCUGCAUGAAGUUGGAGUUGCUAGUAAUCGCGAAUCAGCAUGUCGCGGUGAAUACGUUCCCGGGCCUUGUACACACCGCCCGU
rnacentral:rRNA from 1 species